UUAUUAUUCAAGUGGUCAUUCGAGGAAAGAGCUUCAACAUGGAAGGUACUCACUACAAAUGUCUGAUCUUUCUUUUCUUCUUCUACUCUUUGAAUACAGGUGGUUUUUCUCAAGAAACAUUUACUAGAAAACCUUAUGCAGAUAUUGAAGAUGAAGAGCCACUAGACCAAGAAGACGACUAUGAUGCUGGUGCAAGUGAUGCUGGUUCAGGCGGCGGCGGCGGAGGAACAGAAAGUGAACCUAACGGUGCUCCAGAAGCAUUGCAUAUAUUGAAAAACAAUGCCACGACUUACACCGCUACUUGGAAUGAAGUACCUGAACACUUGAGAAAUGGUUUGGUAAUAAAUUACGAAGUGAGAUGGAUCAUGAUACGAAAAGGAAAUCUAUCUACUCCAGGACAUCCGCCGUUUACUAGGUGUAAAGUAAAUGGUUUCUCUUAUACGAUGCAUGGGUUAUCAUUGUGUGCACAGUACAGUAUAUCUGUUAGGGCGUACACACGCGUUGGACCUGGACCAUACAGUGCACCAGUCAACAUAACAACACAACGACCUGGUGCACCAUUACAUUUUAUAGCGUCGUUAAAGAAGAAUGGCACUGUGCUACUUACGUGGGAGAAGCCCGCUAAUACCAAAGAUUCCCUUCAGUCAGUUUAUACGGUUGAAUGCGAAAGCUCAAAGUUUUAUUGGAAGUCAAACAAGCAAAGAACAACAAGCCUCACUAUCUCAAAUCUUAUACCAAAAACAAACUGCACAUUCAAGGUGUUUGCCACUACAGAAUGUGGUGACAGCCCUAAGAGCAUUGCUAGAGUUACCACAGCAAUAGACCGUAAGUAUAACACUGAGUUAAACUCCAUGUAUCUUGAUAUUUUAGUGGAGAGCCGUUACCGUAACUUUCCGAUAAGAAAGGUCUUUGGGUCAAUUUAAAUCGUAGUGGGGUUCACGGGGCAUAAAUAUCAUAGUAAUUAUCAUUUUCUUUCUGUUCAUGAACUCAACUAUUUCAUGAAAGUCACCCGAACGUGAAGAUAUUACAAAUCACGAUCGGGAGGCCGAUCGAAAGGGGCCGUUAAAAUUAACGUAAGGUGACUCCUUACAGAUGGGCUACCUCUUUUGUUUUUGUUUUUCUCUUUGGAGAGAAAACAAACGACUUACCCAUAGCACCAGGCCCGAUCACCAUCAUAAACCACACGACUAGUACGUAAAUUGCCAAAAAGUGUAGUUAGCUUAAGUACUCGAUCCGUGUCAACUGUCGGCUAAAAAUGCAGGUCGUGAAAGCAGCUUAGUCAUAAUAUAGUGUAUCAGUGUAUCAGUAUUUUAAAAACGUAUUAAAUUGGAGGGCGAGAGCCUCAAAGAUCCUUAAAUAUAGCAGUCUCAGAACCGAAAAACGUCAAUUAUCUGGAACACAAAAGCAGCAGACUAAGCCNUCGAACCAGACAAUCGUAUCAAGGCCCAACGGCUGGAAUUUAUUGCCUCAUAUGAAUUAAAAGGAAAAUGUGGAUUUGGAAAGGAAGAGGAAAACACAAAGAAAAGCAGAUAUAAAAAUAUAGU
rnacentral:misc_RNA from 1 species